rnacentral:rRNA from 1 species
UAAAGGUAUUCCGGUAGACGAUGGGGAUGCGUUCCAUUAGAUAGUAGGCGGGGUAACGGCCCACCUAGUCUUCGAUGGAUAGGGGUUCUGAGAGGAAGGUCCCCCACAUUGGAACUGAGACACGGUCCAAACUCCUACGGGAGGCAGCAGUGAGGAAUAUUGGUCAAUGGGCGAGAGCCUGAACCAGCCAAGUAGCGUGAAGGAUGACUGCCCUAUGGGUUGUAAACUUCUUUUAUAAAGGAAUAAAGUCGGGUAUGGAUACCCGUUUGCAUGUACUUUAUGAAUAAGGAUCGGCUAACUCCGUGCCAGCAGCCGCGGUAAUACGGAGGAUCCGAGCGUUAUCCGGAUUUAUUGGGUUUAAAGGGAGCGUAGAUGGAUGUUUAAGUCAGUUGUGAAAGUUUGCGGCUCAACCGUAAAAUUGCAGUUGAUACUGGAUAUCUUGAGUGCAGUUGAGGCAGGCGGAAUUCGUGGUGUAGCGGUGAAAUGCUUAGAUAUCACGAAGAACUCCGAUUGCGAAGGCAGCCUGCUAAGCUGCAACUGACAUUGAGGCUCGAAAGUGUGGGUAUCAAACAGGAUUAGAUACCCUGGUAGUCCACACGGUAAACGAUGAAUACUCGCUGUUUGCGAUACACUGCAA